rnacentral:misc_RNA from 1 species
AACGCACGAGACCUGCGGACCUGCGGAAGGAUCAUUACUGAGGAGGGUCCAUGGCCCGAUCUCCAACCCUUUGAUAAAAACACCAUGUUGCUUUGGCAGGCCCGCCCGUUGGGGCCGCGGGGGAUCGCCGGUCCCUAGCCCGUGCCUGCCGGUAGCCUUCACAAAACUCUCAAAAUGUUGUCGUCUGAGAUGAUUAGAAUAAUAAAACUUUUAACAAUGGAUCUCUAGAUCGGAAGAGCA